rnacentral:rRNA from 1 species
UACGGAAGGGGCUAGCGUUGUUCGGAAUUACUGGGCGUAAAGAGCGCGUAGGCGGCUUACCAAGUUGGGGGUGAAAUCCCGGAGCUCAACUCCGGAACUGCCUUCAAAACUGGUAGGCUCGAGUCCGGAAGAGGGGCGUGGAAUUCCCAGUGUAGAGGUGAAAUUCGUAGAUAUUGGGAAGAACACCGGUGGCGAAGGCGACGCCCUGGUACGUUACUGACGCUGAGGUGCGAAAGCGUGGGGAGCAAACAGG